UCAUCUUUUUAAAAAAUUUUCUCAGACAGGGUAGAAGGGACCACUUUGGUGUCCAUGGAGACUUUUCUGAGGAACAUUUGGGGCAGUUUUGGGUCUGGGGAGGGAAUUUAGAGAGAACUUGGGUGUCUGGAGGACGCUAGGGGGAGCUGGGUGGGCACUUGGAGGGGCACUUAGGGAUUCUGUGGUACAAUUAGGAGCCCGGGGGAGCACUUGGGGGUCCAGGGGGGCACUUGGAGGUCAGGGAGGGGAUCCGGAGGCCCUUCGGGGUCCGGGCGGGCACUUGGGGGACUGUAACAGGGAAUCUACGGGCCGCGGGAGAUGAUGGGAGUUGUAGGCGCCGGUAUAAUACGAUUUAAUGGAACCGCGGAGCAUCACGGGAGUUGUAGACGCAGCUUCAAUGGAUUUCGGUGAGGCGCGGGGCAUGACGGGAGAUGCAGUCCCGGCUGGAAGUGGCUCGGGAGGUGAUAACGAUCCUAGGUGAUGCUUAUCAGCCUGAGAGGAAGAGCAGAACAAGGGCCAUCAGGCUAGACAAUGAGAGGAGCCUAAAUCUAAUAUUUUAGGUUCGUUAUUAAAAGAAGUUUUCAUUUCGUGUUUUAAAUUUUUCCCUUCCCAAUACAUUUUUCCCCCAAUAGUACACGGUUUUAAGUUUGCUUUAUUGUAGCAAAGAGGGUUGACUUGAAAAUAAGCUAUAAAAGUUGAUUGCCUCUUCCCCCCAAUCCAGACAGUUUUGUUACACUGUCCGCAGACCGAAAUUGGAGGGACUCCCCUUAUCUCUCUUUUGUUUCGGAGAUUCAAUUGGGAAUCAUUCGACCAGCAUACUCCUGCGUGCAGUUCCGGA